rnacentral:rRNA from 1 species
GACAGAGGCCUCAAGCGUUAGGCGGAAUCACUGGGCUUAAAGCGUGUGUAGGCGGGUCGUUAAGUACCUUGUGAAAUCCCACGGCUCACCCGUGGAACUGCUGGGUAUACUGGCGAUCUUGGGCCAUUCAGGGGCAACUGGAACAAGCGGUGGAGCGGUGAAAUGCGUAGAUAUCGCUUGGAACGCCGAAGGUGAAAACAGGCUACUGGGGUUGUGCCGACGCUGAGACACGAAAGCCAGGGGAGCAAACGGG